GAUGAACGCUGGCGGCGUGCCUAAUACAUGCAAGUCGAGCGAACGGACGAGAAGCUUGCUUUUCUGAUGUUAGCGGCGGACGGGUGAGUAACACGUGGAUAACCUACCUAUAAGACUGGGAUAACUUCGGGAAACAGGAGCUAAUACCGGAUAAUAUUUUGAACCGCAUGGUUCAAAAGUGAAAGACGGUCUUGCUGUCACUUAUAGAUGGAUCCGCGCUGCAUUAGCUAGUUGGUAAGGUAACGGCUUACCAAGGCAACGAUGCAUAGCCGACCUGAGAGGGUGAUCGGCCACACUGGAACUGAGACACGGUCCAGACUCCUACGGGAGGCAGCAGUAGGGAAUCUUCCGCAAUGGGCGAAAGCCUGACGGAGCAGCGCCGCGUGAGUGAUGAAGGUCUUCGGAUCGUAAAACUCUGUUAUUAGGGAAGAACAUAUGUGUAAGUAACUGUGCACAUCUUGACGGUACCUAAUCAGAAAGCCACGGCUAACUACGUG
rnacentral:rRNA from 1 species